UAUAAUAUUUAAUGAAAUUAUUUAUGAAUUUUUUAUAAAAAGAUAAAUGACCUUUAUUUGUUAACAACAUUGUAUGGUUUAACUAGUAAGAAAAAAAAUAGAAUUGUAAAAAAUAAUACCUAAUUGCCUUUAGAAGUGUAGAAAAUGCACUGCUGGAAUUGGGUUAGUGUGUGGCGGUUGUGUAGAAUGCAGGACACGUGGCAGAGCAUGAGUGGAUGAAGUGUUUCAUACUUGGUCCGCCUGGAGACGUGGUGCAUGCUGGAUGGUUGGAGUGGAGGGUGCACGAGAUGGAGUAUGGUCACACUGGCAGGAGAUCAUGUGUUCCAAUGGGCAUGGCGAUUCAGUAUGGAUAGGUGUAGUAGAGCUGGGAUGCGUUCCACCACUUGAUUGGCUGGCUGGAGUCAAUGUGAAGGAAAAGUAAAAGUAAGUAGAUCAGAUUGCUCAAAAUCAACAAGAAAAGCAAGUUCAUGGAAUUGCAAGAGACCAGUCUGCAUUGGAUCUGUUGGCUUUGAAAUUUUCCC
rnacentral:lncRNA from 1 species